AUCACCUAGGGAUCUUGUUAUUAUGCAGAUUCUGAUUCAAUAGGUCUGGGGCAGGCUGAGAUUCUACAUUUCUAACAAGCUCCCUGGUGAUGCUGCU
ensembl:miRNA